UAAUACGUAGGGUCCGAGCGUUGUCCGGAUUUAUUGGGCGUAAAGAGCUCGUAGGCGGCUCAGUAAGUCAGAUGUGAAAACUCAGGGCUCAACCCGGAGACGCCAUCUGAUACUGCUGUGGCUUGAGUCUGGUAGGGGAUCACGGAAUUCCUGGUGUAGCGGUGAAAUGCGCAGAUAUCAGGAGGAACACCGAUGGCGAAGGCAGUGAUCUGGGCCAGUACUGACGCUGAGGAGCGAAAGCGUGGGUAGCAAACAGGAUUAGAUACCCUGGUAGUCCACGCCGUAAACGUUGGGCACUAGGUGUGGGACCCCGUCAACGGGUUCCGUGCCGUAGCUAACGCAUUAAGUGCCCCGCCUGGGGAGUACGGCCGCAAGGCUA
rnacentral:rRNA from 1 species